UACGUAGGGGGCGAGCGUUGUCCGGAAUUAUUGGGCGUAAAGAGCGUGUAGGCGGUUCGGUAAGUCUGCCGUGAAAACCUGGGGCUCAACCCUGGGCGUGCGGUGGAUACUGCCGGGCUAGAGGGUGGUAGAGGCGAGUGGAAUUCCCGGUGUAGCGGUGAAAUGCGCAGAUAUCAGGAGGAACACCGAUUGCGAAGGCAGCUCGCUGGGACGGUACUGACGCUGAGACGCGAAAGCGUGGGGAGCAAACAGG
rnacentral:rRNA from 1 species